rnacentral:misc_RNA from 1 species
UCCCCUGUCUUCCAGACGCUCACAUUGCCUCGCUCGAUGAUAUAGAAUUUCUCACCGGGUUCGCCCUGGCGGAUGACGGCCUCUCCCGCCGAGAAACGUUCGGUCUUAAGGCUGUGAGCCACCCGGUCGAGCUCCUCAUCAUCCAGGUUCACAAACAGCGGUACCCGCUUCAAUACCUUGCGCCGGUUGGCUCGCGUAUCCAAAACUUCCUGUUGGAGCGUAAGCCCCCAAUCCUGGCGGCUCAAGAUGAGCUCGGUAACCACCUCGCGAUCCUGCCAGCUGAGCAGGUCGAUGCCGUAGCCAAAAGUCAGGGUACCCAUCUCCCGCCCGAGUUCCUGGCAGAUCAGGUCGUG